rnacentral:rRNA from 1 species
CAGCCGCCGCGGGAAUACAGAGGGUGCGAGCGUUAAUCGGAUUUACUGGGCGUAAAGCGUGCGUAGGCGGCUUCUUAAGUCGGAUGUGAAAUCCCUGAGCUUAACUUAGGAAUUGCAUUCGAUACUGGGAAGCUAGAGUAUGGGAGAGGAUGGUAGAAUUCCAGGUGUAGCGGUGAAAUGCGUAGAGAUCUGGAGGAAUACCGAUGGCGAAGGCAGCCAUCUUGCCUAAUACUGACGCUGAGGUACGAAAGCAUGGGGAGCAAACAGGAUUAGAUACCCCGGUAGUCCCUGUCUCUUAUAC